rnacentral:rRNA from 1 species
GACGAACGCUGGCGGCGUGCUUAACACAUGCAAGUCGAACGGAAAGGCCCUGCUUUUGUGGGGUGCUCGAGUGGCGAACGGGUGAGUAACACGUGAGUAACCUGCCCUUGACUUUGGGAUAACUUCAGGAAACUGGGGCUAAUACCGGAUAGGAGCCCCUGCUGCAUGGUGGGGGUUGGAAAGUUUCGGCGGUUGGGGAUGGACUCGCGGCUUAUCAGCUUGUUGGUGGGGUAGUGGCUUACCAAGGCUUUGACGGGUAGCCGGCCUGAGGGGGUGACCGGCCACAUUGGGACUGAGAUACGGCCCAGACUCCUACGGGAGGCAGCAGUGGGGAAUAUUGCACAAUGGGCGGAAGCCUGAUGCAGCAACGCCGCGUGCGGGAUGACGGCCUUCGGGUUGUAAACCGCUUUCGCCUGUGACGAAGCGUGAGUGACGGUAAUGGGUAAAGAAGCACCGGCUAACUACGUG